UACGAAGGGGGCUAGCGUUGCUCGGAAUCACUGGGCGUAAAGCGCGUGUAGGCGGUCCGGUAAGUCCGCUGUGAAAGUCGGGGGCUCAACCCUCGAAUGCCGGUGGAUACUGUCGGGCUAGAGUCCGGAAGGGGCGAGUGGAAUUCCUGGUGUAGCGGUGAAAUGCGCAGAUAUCAGGAGGAACACCAAUGGCGAAGGCAGCUCGCUGGGACGUGACUGACGCUGAGACGCGAAAGCGUGGGGAGCAAACAGG
rnacentral:rRNA from 1 species